UCCUACGGAAGGCAGCAGUGAGGAAUAUUGGUCAAUGGUCGGGAGACUGAACCAGCCAAGCCGCGUGAGGGAUGAAGGUACAGAGUAUCGUAAACCUCUUUUGUCAGGGAACAAAGGCGGGGACGUGUCCCCGGAUGAGUGUACCUGAAGAAAAAGCAUCGGCUAACUCCGUGCCAGCAGCCGCGGUAAUACGGAGGAUGCGAGCGUUAUCCGGAUUUAUUGGGUUUAAAGGGUGCGCAGGCGGUCCGUUAAGUCAGCGGUCAAAGCCCGGGGCUCAACCCCGGCCCGCCGUUGAAACUGGCAGG
rnacentral:rRNA from 1 species